GUGUCAGCCGCCGCGGUAAUACGAAGGGUGCAAGCGUUACUCGGAAUCACUGGGCGUAAAGCGUGCGUAGGCGGUUCGUUAAGUCUGCUGUGAAAGCCCUGGGCUCAACCUGGGAACUGCAGUGGAUACUGGCGGACUAGAGUGUGAUAGAGGAUGGUGGAAUUCCCGGUGUAGCGGUGAAAUGCGUAGAGAUCGGGAGGAACACCAGUGGCGAAGGCGGCCAUCUGGAUCAACACUGACGCUGAGGCACGAAAGCGUGGGGAGCAAACAGGAUUAGAUACCCUCGUAGUCC
rnacentral:rRNA from 1 species